GAUGAAGAACGUAGCGAAAUGCGAUAAGUAGUGUGAAUUGCAGACUUUAGUGAAUCAUCGAAUCUUUGAACGCACAUUGCGCCCCUUGGUAUUCCAUUGGGCAUGCCUGUUCGAGCGUCAUUUACAACCUCAAGCUCCGCUUGGUGUUGGGUGUCUGUCUGCGCUUCUUGCGAAGACUCGCCCUAAAUCUAUUGGCAGCGGCAUCGCCGGCUUCUCGCGCAGUACAAUGCGUUAUGGAAGGCUACCGGCGGGCUUGCGUCCAUCAAGUAACCCCCCAAGUUUGACCUCGAAUCAGGUAGGGAUACCCGCUGAACUUAAGCAUAUCAAUAGCGGAGGA
rnacentral:misc_RNA from 1 species